rnacentral:rRNA from 1 species
UACAGAGGUCUCGAGCGUUAGGCGGAAUCACUGGGCUUAAAGCGUGUGUAGGCGGAUCGUUAAGUACCUUGUGAAAUCCCACGGCUUAACCGUGGAACUGCUUGGUAUACUGGCGGUCUUGAGCCAGCUAGGGGCUACCGGAACAAAUGGUGGAGCGGUGAAAUGCGUAGAUAUUGGGAAGAACACCAGUGGCGAAGGCGGCUAACUGGUCCAGAUCUGACGCUGAGGUGCGAAAGCGUGGGGAGCAAACAGG